rnacentral:rRNA from 1 species
UACAGAGGUGACAAACGUUGUCCGGAAUUAUUGGGCGUAAAGGGCGCGUAGGUGGUUGAGUAAGUCAGGUGUGAAAGCUCUGGGCUUAACCCAGGAAUUGCAUCUGAUACUGCUCGGCUUGAGUACGGUAGAGGAGGGUGGAAUUCCCAGUGUAGCGGUGAAAUGCGUAGGUAUUGGGAGGAACACCGGUGGCGAAGGCGGCCCUCUGGACCGAAACUGACACUGAAGCGCGAAAGCUAGGGGAGCAAACGGG